GAACCAGCUCGAGCUUGUGUUGCUGACACUUGUAAAAGUCUUGCUUUGACUUGCAGAUGGAAGGAACAUAUCUCAAGCUGAGCAGUGAUGGACAGAGCGGGAUGCUUGACACCUCCGGGAGAUGCUGUUCUUUGUGCAAAAAGCCAUUUCAAAGAGUAGGGUGAAGAGAGGGCUGGACUCCUGCUAGGUAUGGGGUUCCGGCCCUGCAGCCUUCAAGUGCCACAUGAAUGCCAGACACUGAACCCUUCAUUUGAAAUCACUGAAAUCCCAGGAAGUUCUUCAGAGAGGGCUGAGGUCUCGAUUUUACAUUCAGAAACAUUGACCAACUGACAGACGCAAAAUAAAGAAGUCAACCCAAGAUUGGCA
rnacentral:lncRNA from 1 species